rnacentral:rRNA from 1 species
CCUACGGGAGGCAGCAGUGAGGAAUAUUGGUCAAUGGACGAGAGUCUGAACCAGCCAAGUAGCGUGAAGGAUGACUGCCCUAUGGGUUGUAAACUUCUUUUAUAAAGGAAUAAAACGAGGCACGUGUGCCUUUUUGCAUGUACUUUAUGAAUAAGGAUCGGCUAACUCCGUGCCAGCAGCCGCGGUAAUACGGAGGAUCCGAGCGUUAUCCGGAUUUAUUGGGUUUAAAGGGAGCGUAGAUGGGUUGUUAAGUCAGUUGUGAAAGUUUGCGGCUCAACCGUAAAAUUGCAAUUGAUACUGGCAGUCGUGAGUACAGUUGAGGUAGGCGGAAUUCGUGGUGUAGCGGUGAAAUGCUUAGAUAGCACGAAGAACCCCGAUUGCGAAGGCAGCUUACUAAACUGUGACUGACAUUGAUGCUCGAAAGUGUGGGUAUCAAACAGGAUUAGAUACCCGUGUAGUC